UACGUAGGGUGCAAGCGUUGUCCGGAUUUAUUGGGUUUAAAGGGUGCGUAGGCGGCCCGUUAAGUCAGCGGUGAAAUCCCGGGGCUCAACCCCGGAACUGCCGUUGAUACUGGCGGGCUUGAGUUCGGUCGAGGCGGGCGGAACUGGCGGUGUAGCGGUGAAAUGCUUAGAUACCGCCAAGAACCCCGAUUGCGUAGGCAGCUCGCUGUGCCGAAACUGACGCUGAGGCACGAAAGCGUGGGGAGCGAACAGG
rnacentral:rRNA from 1 species